GAGCAACAUUAGAAGACGUAUUAUGUUGGAAUACCCAUCCUACACCUGGAUAUUUCUGGAUGAUCCGGGGUCCUAUAGUUGGGGCAAUGGUUAUCAACUUUUUCAUAUUCCUCAACAUUAUUAGAGUAUUAUUCACCAAACUGAAUGCAUUUAAAACUCCGGAUGUUAAAA
rnacentral:lncRNA from 1 species